UCUUUACUGGGCAUAUUGUACGAAAAACAUCCUACGACAUGUAGCGUGAAAGGCGUACAUUAUAGACACAAAUAGAUAUUUAUCUAGUCAUCUAGUCUUUCUAAUGUAUACAGUGAUUGCUGGAUAAAACAUAAUACUUCUUUUAUGCUUGUUCACGUAUUUGUCGAUCAAUGUUUUAAGAAUGACGUAAUAAUAGAUGACGUCAGGCGGAUGUUCGCAUGAAGGCUUUUGAGGAAAUCUUUUUUUCUUUUUUUUUCUUUUUUUUUUUUGGGGGGGGGGGUUUUGGUUUGGUGUUUUGGGGUUGUUUUUUGUUGUUGUUGGAUUUGUUUGUUGUGGGGGUUUUGGGGGUGGGGGGAGGGUUCUGUGGCUUAUUUUGGACCAAUUUUCCAUCUUCUUGCUAACUUAUCUGCUUCCUUAUUACCUGGGAUGUUGCAAUGUGAUGGUUUCCACUGAAUUGUUUGUUUGUGUGCCACAGGUUAGCGCAGAAAGAGUUUAGCAAAUUCAUUCCUGUCUUUGUUUUGGGGGGGUCUUUGAGAGCUUGGAGGACCGAGAGAGCAACCGAGUACAUGAGAACUUUCCAAUGUGUAUGAUAACACGACUGAGAAAAUGCUACUGUAAACACAGGUACCACAUGCAUUGUACACACCACGGGUAUCCCCAAACAUCAACGUCAACUAUGUUAUAGUAAAGUUAUAUAAUAUGUAACUAUAGUAUUUGCAUUAAGGUUUUUUGUUUGGGGGGUACCUGUGGUACACACCUUUCCGAGUGGAAAAAAACCCCUGAAACAUGAUGUGAUUGUGGCACAGUCUCCAUGACUUAUCGCUCAUUUCCUACAGCAUUGUCCCCACUACUAGUACCAGAGGAAAGUAUAGUCUGGCCUUCAGAUGAAUCCCUGAAGAAAAAACUAUAUGGCCCCAAGGAAAAUCUGCAACACACAGCAGCAUUUGUUCGAGAUACUGCGGUCCCUGUCAGCGUUCGAAGAAGUUUGUUUUUAUAGGUUUUUGUUUGACGUCAUAGAUAUUUUAACGUCAUGAAUUUUCCCACGUUGAGCUCAAAUUAUGACGACAAGGUUGGGGAAACCUCGUGUUUUAGCUGAUCGACAUCAAAUUGACAACGUAGCAUGAGAUGACAAAAUAAAGCCAGAAUUUUAGCGACAGAAGCACAAAUGUCUUGGCAAAAAGUCGGUCAAGCUGCCACAUCGACGCUUACCGAGGAAGUGGAAGACGAUGGGAAUAUUAACAAUAAACGCAGAUGGACACUUGUACAAAACGUAGCAAGGGUUAUUGCGUGGAACUCAAGUCGAAAGGUUGAGGUGAAGGAAAGCGAUACAGAUCCGUUCUUACAGAGGUUUACUUCAGUUGCCACUGGUUUGAAGAACAAAAAACAUUUCAAAUACAAAAGUUUCUUCACCUGGAAAUUGUGGAGUGAACUGGUUAUCAACCCUGCAGACUGGGUCUUCUAUAAAUGGUCCGAGGUCGUCGCCGUUGCCAUAUAUUACAACAUCAUCGUGAUUAUAGUCAGAUCCGUUUUCCAGGAGCUGCAUCAAUCAUACCUUAUGCCCAUGUGGUUUGUUAUGGACUACACCUGUGACCUUAUCUAUAUCUUCGAUGGAUUUAUCAGAAGUCGAUUAGGGUUUUUGGAGCAAGGCAUCCUGGUGACUGAUGUGAAAAUAUUGACCUGUCACUAUCUCAUGUCACGGAGAUUUUUUCUGGACUUCAUAAGCGUAAUCCCCUUAGAGAUACUGUAUAUUUUUGUCGAGUACAACUCGUUCCUGCGUUUGAACAGAGUUAUAAAAGUGACUAGACUAGGCGAAUUUUACCAAGAUUCGCAGACCAGGACGAACUCGCCCACCCUGUUCCGGCUGACGUGUCUGAUCGUCAACAUCGUCAUCGUGAUUCACUGGAACGCGUGCAUCUUCUACGCCUUCAGCGCCCUGUUCGGCUUCAACUCGGACGGCUGGGUGUACGCGGUGACGAAGAAAGAGGACAUGUGGUUCGCGCACAAGUACCUGGCGUGCUUCUACUGGUCGAUGCUCACACUGACGGCCAUCGGAGACACGCCGCCGCCGGAGAGGGUGGAGGCGCUGCUCUACGCCACCUGCUGCACCUUGUGCGGCGUCCUCAUCUUCGCCACCAUCUUCGGCAACAUCGGCAUCAUGAUCAACCAGAUGAACGCCACCCGCCAGCAGUUCGAGCAGGACCUCGACUCGGUGAAGCGCUACAUGGCCAUACGGAAGGUGAGCCCGUUUCUCCAGGAGCGGGUCUUCCACUGGUUCACCUACCAGUGGAAGAACAACAAGCAGUCGGUGGACGACGGGCAGGCCCUGGCCGUGCUGCCGGAGAAACUGCGCGCCGAGAUCGCCAUCUACGUGCACCUGGACACCCUGAAGAGGGUGGCGCUCUUCAAGGACUGCGAGCCGGGCCUGCUCAUCGAGCUGGUGCUGAAGCUCCGGCUGCAGGUGAUCAGUCCAGGGGACUUCAUCUGCCGGAAGGGCGAGGUCGGGAAGGAGAUGUACAUCGUGAAGCGCGGCAAGCUGAUCGUGCUGUCGGAGGACGGCGAGGAGGUGCUCGGUACGCUGGAGGACGGCGCCGUCUUCGGCGAGAUCAGCAUCCUCAACAUCAAGGGAAACCGGACGGGAAACCGGCGGACGUGCCACGUGCGCAGCGUCGGCUACUCUGACCUGUUCUACCUGUCCAAAGUGGACCUGUGGCAGGCGCUGUCCGAGUACCCGAGCGCCAAACGCAUGCUGCAGGAACGUGGCCGGCAGAUGCUGAAGAAGGACCACCUCCUCGACGAGAAGGACAUGGCUCACGAGGACAUCAUCGUGCCCAUGGAGGAGCGCGUCCUCUCCAUAGCCGAGCAGCUCAGCGUCGUCAACGCCAAGAUGGACGCCAUGGCCGACAGACUUAACAACCUGAUGCCCAAUCAUGGCAGAAAGUACUCAACCGUAGGUCGGCUUGUAGACAAGGCCACAUCGCCCGUGUUCAAAUUUUCACCCAAGGACUCUCCUCCCCCAAAACGCCGGCAGAGUAGGGCUACCAGUCCCAUUGUGAGAACGGGAAAACUGGGCAAACUAGGAUCAGUUAGCAAACAUCACAAACCUGAAUUUUUGUAAGCAGGAAAUAUCGCCCUCAAUAUAGUAAUUAUCAUACGCGUACGGGCUCCCAUUUUUGUAGGGGGCAGGCUGGUUUUUGCCCGAAUUGAACGAAAAUGCUCGAAUCUGGAUAACAACAUUUAUUCAAAUUAGCAUUAUUGCCAAACAGCUAUAGGGUUUCAAACGAAUCACUACGCAUUUUUAAAUGAAUUACAACUAAUUUUACGGGUAGAAUAAUGGAAAUACAAUGGUAUAAAGGUCUCAGAUUAGUACAUUUUGUACGAAUAUCUUUAUAAUUUUUGCCUCAAUUUGAGAAUUUGUUCCAGAACUGCCAAACCCCCACCCACCCCUACACCCCUGUCUCGUACGCUUAAAUUAUUAUUAUUAUUAUUAUUAUUUAUUAUUAUUAUUAUUGAAAUACAAAUAACAGAUUGGAAAACGUUUAACUGAGACAUACCUAAACGUAUCUUGAAGCGAGAUGUGACAUCAAUACGACGCCUGUACAUCUUUGACUUAGACAUUAGACGUUUGAAGAGUUUUUCAAAUAUGGGCAUAAGAAUAACAAGCUACACAUGAAUGGAGAUUGACGUCAUUGCUGAUUAUGACUUACUUGCACUGAUUUUGAUAUCUCCUUAUAGUUUGAGAUUAGAUUCUUUUUCUUUUUGUGUGUGUUUGUGCAAAAUUUGCACAUUAAUGAUAAAAUAGUCUGACAAUGUUAAAUAAACAAAUUAUGUGUUUCACUUUAUUAGUUUUCGAGAUACAUAUUGUGAGAACUCGUUUGUUGUUUUUAUUUGAAAAACGAUAACUUCAGAAAUACUUUUAAAUCUGAAAAUUUCAGUUGUCAUAGAAGCUGUAAAGUUAUAAGAAAAUUAAAUCAUUGAUAUUUUGUAAAAAAAAAA
rnacentral:misc_RNA from 1 species